UGUGUGUGUGUGUGUGUGUUUACCGUUGCUGCUGCUGUAGGUGAUGUUGUGUGUGUGUGUGUGUGUGUGUGUGGUUACCGUUGCUGCUGCUGUAGGUGAUGUUGUGUGUGUGUGUGUGUGUGUGUGUGGUUACCGUUGCUGCUGCUGUAGGUGAUGUUGUGUGUGUGUGUGUGUGUGUGUGUGUGGUUACCGUUGCUGCUGCUGUAGGUGAUGUUGUGUGUGUGUGUGUGUGUGUGUGUGUGUUUACCGUUGCUGCUGCUGUAGGUGAUGUUGUGUGUGUGUGUGUGUGGUUACCGUUGCUGCUGCUGUAGGUGAUGUUGUGUGUGUGUGUGUGUGUGUGUUUACCGUUGCUGCUGCUGUAGGUGAUGUUGUGUGUGUGUGUGUGUGUGGUUACCGUUGCUGCUGCUGUAGGUGAUGUUGUGUGUGUGUGUGUGUGUGGUUACCGUUGCUGCUGCUGUAGGUGAUGUUGUGUGUGUGUGUGUGUGUGUGUUUACCGUUGCUGCUGCUGUAUGUGAUGUUGUGUGUG